rnacentral:rRNA from 1 species
GACGAAGGAUGCAAGCGUUAUCCGGAUUCAUUGGGUUUAAAGGGAGCGUAGGCGGCCCUGUAAGUCAGUGGUGAAAUCUCUCGGCUUAACCGAGAAAUUGCCAUUGAUACUGCAGGGCUUGAGUACAGUUGCCGUUGGCGGAAUAUGACAUGUAGUGGUGAAAUACAUAGAGAUGUCAUAGAACACCGAUUGCGAAGGCAGCUAACGAAACUGUAACUGACGCUGAGGCUCGAAAGUGCGGGGAUCAAACAGG